rnacentral:rRNA from 1 species
UACGUAGGGUGCGAGCGUUAUUCGGAUUCACUGGGCGUAAAGGGUGCGCAGGCGGCCAAGUGUGUCAGGUGUGAAAUCCCGAGGCUUAACCUCGGAACUGCGCCUGAAACUACUUGGCUAGAGUACUGGAGAGGGUAACGGAAUUCACGGUGUAGCAGUGAAAUGCGUAGAUAUCGUGAGGAACACCAGAGGCGAAGGCGGUUACCUGGACAGUUACUGACGCUCAGGCACGAAAGCGUGGGGAGCAAAAGGG